GAUGAACGCUGGCGGCGUGCCUAAUACAUGCGAGUCGAGCGAACAGACGAGGAGCUUGCUCCUCUGACGUUAGCGGCGGACGGGUGAGUAACACGUGGAUAACCUACCUAUAAGACUGGGAUAACUUCGGGAAACCGGAGCUAAUACCGGAUAAUAUAUUGAACCGCAUGGUUCAAUAGUGAAAGACGGUUUUGCUGUCACUUAUAGAUGGAUCCGCGCCGCAUUAGCUAGUUGGUAAGGUAACGGCUUACCAAGGCAACGAUGCGUAGCCGACCUGAGAGGGUGAUCGGCCACACUGGAGCUGAGACACGGUCCAGACUCCUACGGGAGGCAGCAGUAGGGAAUCUUCCGCAAUGGGCGAAAGCUUGACGGAGCAACGCCGCGUGAGUGAUGAAGGUCUGCGGAUCGUAAAACUCUGUUAUUAGGGAAGAACAAAUGUGUAAGUAACGAUGCACGUCUUGACGGUACCUAAGCAGAAAGCCACGGCUAACUACGU
rnacentral:rRNA from 1 species